GGCAGUGUUGCUUAGUGGAAAAAACAUGGGCCUGGGAGUCAGAGGACCCGGGUUCUAAUCCUGGCUCUGCCG
rnacentral:tRNA from 1 species